AGCCUCAGAGUUUCCUUCCUGUUCAUGCAGAAUUUUUUUUUUAUUAUUAUUGCCUUGAAGCCAAAACAAUUAUUUUUUCGGUCUUUACAUCCAAAACAAAUUACAUUGUGUCUACCAGGCAGCCUUGUCUUGCUGGAGUUUAUUAAAUAAAACACAGCAUUUGUUUCACAUUCUGGUUGAUCGCAGUUUGAACUGCACUGAUCCUUACCUCGAGCAACCGCAAGCUGAAAGGAUGCAUGUUCUAGCUAAGAAUAUUAAUAAUGAAAAAUGGUUGCCACUCUUGAGCAAAUGUGCAUUUUGAGGUGAGAAUAAGAAUUGGGUUUGGCUGCUUCAGGGCCACAUGCCUGUGUGCCAGCAUUUUAGCCACGGGGGAAAUAGAUCCUCUAACCAAAGUGAUCCCCAACCCAAAUUCAGCUUCUUGCACCCAGAGCUGCUGCACAGCAUCUCUGAGGCAAGGCAUGGACUGGCGCAGAGCUUCUGCUGCACUUCUCUUGACUUUGUCCAAUCCUUUAUUUAAUUCUUUUCCUUUGUAGGUCUUUAUCAGCACUCCUUGUGGAGCUGGAAGGACUUGGGUGGCUCUGCCUGGGUUUGCACUGAACGGACCUCAGCUAGACAGAACACCGGGCAGAAAUAGUUGCCUGGUUUGUGAACUGCUACAAUCCAGCUGCCCUUAUCUCCAUGUUGUUUCCUCAUGCAGUCUGUAUGCCCAUGGGAUGCACUUCCAAAUGGAGCUAACUCCAUCCGAGCACCUACAGUGGGCCACCAGAUCCAAAAAGAUGAGCAAAGAGGAACAGAUGGAGGUGAAGAAACGCAUGCAGGCGUGAAACUGAAGCUGGUUGUGGUGAAGGGAGCACUGACUGUGUGUGGUGUGGAGUGGUGUAGCACCAAGUGCUGGGUACUUCUGGCAGAUCCAGCCAUCUGUGAGUGCAGCGCUGUAAGUAAUGCAAUAUGCAUGAAGUGCUCCAUUUGUGUUUGCAAAAAGCUAUUUAACCACUAGGAGGGGAAAAAAAAAAGGAAAAAAAAAUAGAAUUAAGGGGGAAGAUGUAUAAUCAACUUGCACAUUUCUCAAAAGGUCUAGUUUGUCAUUGUUGUCUUGAGGUGAUGAAGUAAAAGCCUUAAAGAAACAGAACGAUGCUGCUAAUGUAG
rnacentral:lncRNA from 1 species